UCCCGAGUAGUGCGGGGGAGGAUUCUUGCGAUUUUCCCCACGCCGUUUAAGCUCCCUCUCUGCCUUUCUACCCUUGGCGCAGACGCCGCGCCCCGCUUUCUUUGGGGGCGGCCCCUGUCGGGCCCCGCCAUCUUGGAAGGCCUUUCUUGCAGUUCGCCAUCGCACGUUCCUCUCGCUAAAGAAAAGUCGUUUGGGUGGCUCGUACGAAUUCACUUAGGCCCAGAGGGAUGAAGUGACUAAUUCAAGGUCACACAGUGUGGAGGAUGGAAUCCCGACCUUCUGAUUUCUUUAUUGGUUCUACACCCAACAUGGGACUUGAACUCACUAUCCUGAGAUCAAGAGUUUCAUGCUCUACCAACUGAGCCAACUCUUGUUUCUUACCAUUAUACUGUACCACCAUCAUAGAUUGAAGGGAAGAGUUGGACAUGAACUGCACUUUGUCCAACUUGAGGUGAGCAUAGAUCUGGAGGUCACACCUGGGCUCAGACCUAAUUGCAGGAAUGCUUUCCAUUAUCCCCCUGACAGAUGAUCACCCAAGUUCUUUUUGAAUGCUUCCAUUGUUGGGGAGCUCAUUACUUCUUGAGGAAUCCCAUUAUAUGUUGAAUAGCUCUCUGGUGAUCUCAACCUUUCUGACAGCUCCACUUAACCGUCUGCAUAUGGAUGAUGCCCACCUCUGUCUGCAGACCAGUGUCCAGCUGCUCACGUGGCCGGCAUCACAGGGAUAUUGUGCACACUCACCACUGUGUGGCCUUCCGCUCCUCCUUACUUGCCGCCUCACCUGGUGUCCUGUCACAUGUAUGUGUGCUGCUGAAGGGAGCACAGGAAUCUGCAUUUUGAUUGCCUCCCAGAUGACUCUGACUACAGUCAUCAUCUGCAGACCAUAUUUGGAGAAACUGACAGAGGAUUCCACUGACCUCCCAUCUCUAAAGGGGAAGAAAGGGGAUUUGAACACUUUACUUGGAUCUAAAGGUCCUGAGAAACCCAUUCUGUCAUCCAGUGGGAAUAAUGGAUAACUGCAUGUACCGGCACCUCAUCUUCUCAUUGCCACAGUAGAUGCAGAGCCAGAUGAGGUAGACAAGGGCUUCAUGACUAAACCAUGGCAGGUGAAAAGUGGUCUUGUCACUAUAAUAUGGUAGUUGAGAAUGUGACUCUGAUAGAUGUGAUGUGAUACGACAUAUGACUCUGGAGCCCAUCUGCUGGGGCCUGAAUUCUGACUCAGCCACUUACUGUGUGACCUUGGAAACUAAAAAAAUUCCUGAAGGAGGCUACUGGCCAUGGUGUCUGCAGUUACACUUGGUGUGAACAAAGGAAUUCAAAGCUCAGAAUUAUUUUUUCUUAGGAUUUGCUACAUUUUGGUAUUCACAGCCUUCUAGAGCUUCUCUGCUUCUUGCCUGUGACGCAUUUGAAGGAGCUAAGACCUCCUCUGGUUGGAGGGCUUUGUUGCUCCUGCCCUUGCAAGAAAAAGGAAAAUUACAUGACUGGCCCAGGCAGGCAAGACUUAGAGCCAGCCUGAAUCUUGGGAGGAAACCUGCUUCUAGCAUUUGUCCUUGCCUCUUCUUUGGAGAAGCCUCUCAGCCAGUUUUAGUCUUGAUCUCAGGACCCCCAUCAACCUAGGUGAAAGCAGACUUUGAAGCAGAUAGCUUAGUUUUGCCUAUCUCAUUGGAAUUUGAGGCUCUAGAACUCAAGCCUGAAAACAACAAAAUUCCAUCAGAGGCUGGCUCAAGGCCAAAAAUCUCUUUGUCUUUCAAAGACAGGAAACAGUUAUGGGACAGAAGCACCACUUUCUUUAAUUAUAAUACCGGUGUCAGUAGACCCCAGUAUGGGUGUGUGAGGAUUGUUUCAGACUUGUAACAUAGGCUUUUCUGUGAGCUGGAGAGCUUACAAAGAGCAGUAGAAUAAAAACCUAUUUAAAAAACCAAAAUCAACUCUAGCCAGUUGUGUUCGAAAGAGGGGUGGCCUAAUUCAUAUUUCUAGGGGGAAAAAUCAUUCCAUUCUCUUCACCAGUAUAGAAUGGUGGUGGUGAGAGAGUGAAUUUCAAAACUUCCUUUUGUUCCUCAGUGCUGGUCAGGCGUGGAGCCUGGACUGAUGGCUCACAGUGGGGCUGACUCCAGGUAUGGGUCACUGGAUGUCAGAGGAAGGGGGAUGGAGAGCUAAGUUGCUCAGAAUAAUAUAAGGGGAAUUUAGUUUCCUGAGCAAGGGGAGACCUCUUCCAAAUAUGAGCAGUGUCUGGGGAGGGGAAAGGAACCACGAAGCAUGGUAACAAUAUAAAACCCCUCUGUCUCUUCAUAACUUAGGAAAGUCUGAUGAGGACAUAGUGUUUCGAGUCAGUUUGUGUAUGUGUAUUUUUUUCUUUUUGGUAAAGCAUGGAAAAAAGGGAGCUGAGUCCCACCUCUGGGACAGCUCAGAUCAGAAGGAAGAGAUUGGCCUCAUUGAGUGUGAUUAAAAAAUCCAGCAGGAACUGGAGUCAGAGCCAAAAGAAGCUGUUAAGAGCAUUAGCUGGUGGGAAUUUGCAGAAAUUGUGGGAGGGUCAUUGGAUGGGAGGAUCUACACCGUUUAACCAACUGAGCCACGCAGGUGUCCCUCAGACUGGAUUCUGGUGUAGUCAGGUACAUCCCUUGGCUCUAGAUGGAGGACACAUGACUGCCAAUUAGAACACCAGUUGAUGUUGGUAUGGUCUCAAAUCCAGGCCAAUUAGGACUCUGGACUUUUGUCAGAACUAUUAAGAAGUGACUUCUCAUUUUUUUUCCAACUGAGUUGCCAAGCCUGUGGAAUGUGCAUAGUUCUGAGGCUGCUGGUGAUCAUCUUGCCAUCCCAGGGGGAGUGCUGAAGUCAACACAGGUGAAAGCUGAGUUGUGAGGUGGAGACGG